rnacentral:rRNA from 1 species
CCUACGGUGGGCAGCAGUGAGGAAUAUUGGUCAAUGGACGAGAGUCUGAACCAGCCAAGUAGCGUGAAGGAUGACUGCCCUAUGGGUUGUAAACUUCUUUUAUAAAGGAAUAAAACGAGGCACGUGUGCCUUUUUGCAUGUACUUUAUGAAUAAGGAUCGGCUAACUCCGUGCCAGCAGCCGCGGUAAUACGGAGGAUCCGAGCGUUAUCCGGAUUUAUUGGGUUUAAAGGGAGCGUAGAUGGGUUGUUAAGUCAGUUGUGAAAGUUUGCGGCUCAACCGUAAAAGUGCAAUUGAUACUGGCAGUCUUGAGUACAGCUGAGGUAGGCGGAAUUCGUGGUGUAGCGGUGAAAUGCUUAGAUAUCACGAAGAACCCCGAGUGCGAAGGCAGCUUACUAAACUGUGACUGACAUUGAUGCUCGAAAGUGUGGGUAUCAAACAGGAUUAGAUACCCCUGUAGUC